AUUGAACGCUGGCGGCAGGCCUAACACAUGCAAGUCGAACGAGUGGCGGACUGGUGAGUAAUGUCUGGGAAACUGCCUGAUGGAGGGGGAUAACUCCUGGAAACGGUAGCUACUACCGCAUACCGUCGGAUGUGGCCAGAUGGGAGUAGCUAGUAGGUGGGGUAAAGGCUCACCUAGGCGACGAUGCCUAGCUGGUCUGAGAGGAUGACCAGUCACACUGGGACUGAGACAAGGCCCAGACUCCUACGGGAGGCAGCAGUGGGGAAUAUUGCGCAAUGGGCGCAAGCCUGAUACAGCCAAGCCGCGUGUAUGAAGAAGGCCUUCGGGUUGUAAAGUACUUUCAGCGGUGAGGCGUUACCCACAGAAGAAGCAACGGCUAACUCCGUGCCAGCAGCCGCGGUAAUAC
rnacentral:rRNA from 1 species